AGUAACUGCGAGUGAAGCGGGAAAAGCUCAAAUUUAAAAUCUGGUGGUCUUUGGCCAUCCGAGUUGUAAUUUAGAGAAGCGUCUUCCGCGCUGGACCAUGCACAAGUCUCCUGGAAUGGAGCGUCAUAGAGGGUGAGAAUCCCGUCUUUGGCAUGGACCCCAGGGCUUCUGUGAUGCGCUCUCAAAGAGUCGAGUUGUUUGGGAAUGCAGCUCAAAAUGGGUGGUGAACUCCAUCUAAAGCUAAAUAUUGGCGAGAGACCGAUAGCGAACAAGUACCGUGAGGGAAAGAUGAAAAGCACUUUGGAAAGAGAGUGAAACAGUACGUGAAAUUGUUGAAAGGGAAACGCUUGAAGUCAGUCGCGUCGACCGAGACUCAGCCUUGCCUUGGCUUGGUGUACUUCUCGGCUGACGGGUCAGCAUCAAUUUCGAUCCUUGGAUAAUGGCAAGGGAAAGGUAGCACCUUUACAGGUGUGUUAUAGUCCUCUGUCGGAUGCAAGGGUUGGGAUUGAGGAACUCAGCACGCGCCUUGUCGGUGUCGGGGCCUUUUGGCCUACGUACGUGCUUAGGAUGCUGGCAUAAUGGCUUUAAACGACCCGUCUUGAAACACGGACCAAGGAGUCUAACAUGCACGCGAGUGUUCGGGUGGAAAACCCGUGCGCGUAAUGAAAGUAAAAGUUGGGACCUCUGUCGUGGAGGGCACCGACGCCCGGACCAGACCUUCUGUGACGGCUCUGCGGUAGAGCGUGUAUGUUGGGACCCGAAAGAUGGUGAACUAUGCCUGAAUAGGGUGAAGCCAGAGGAAACUCUGGUGGAGGCUCGUAGCGAUUCUGACGUGCAAAUCGAUCGUCAAAUUUGGGUAUAGGGGCGAAAGACUAAUCGAACCAU
rnacentral:rRNA from 1 species